CGAGGUGGCAGCCGAGGGCGAGGUGGCAGCCGAGGCGAGUGGCAGCCGAGGCGCCGCAAGAAGACAGCGACGCGGUCACUCCGGAAGACGAGACCGAUGAAUCAAUAAAGCACACCUCUUCACUGAGCUGCCGACGGAGGAGACCUUCCUGCGGUGGAAUUCCUGGCGGCGAACGGCGUCGACCUCAACGCCAGAAACUGCUAUGGGCGAGGUGGCAGCCGAGGGCGAGGUGGCAGCGAGGGC